rnacentral:rRNA from 1 species
AUGGAUCAGCCAUGGCCACCGGCCGCCGCGCCGCCCACCACGACGAGCUGCUCAGCACUCUCCUCGCCGCCGCGGGCAACGGCCGGGAGGAGGAGGAGGACGCGCGGGAGGCGCGGCAGCAUCAGAAUCAACGCGUCGAAUCCGGCCUCGGCUUACGGCGACACGGACGUGGAUGCUCUGGCUGCGACCGCCGUGCUCUAUGCCCCGACCCUGCUCGCCGAGUCCGUCCGACCUGCUGAUCUCGCCGGCCAGCGACGGGAGGAGGGUGGCAAGCUGAGCCGGAGGAGAGCGAGGCGUCCACGUUACUUUAAGUGCAAAGCAGAGAAACACACACACACUCAGGCACGAGCACAAGCUCUCCUCGCCUAUGGGUACGGCGCCGCCGCCGCCAUGCGCGGCCGCGCGGAGCGGAGGCCGUGA